UACGGAGGGUGCAAGCGUUAAUCGGAAUUACUGGGCGUAAAGCGCACGUAGGCGGUUCGUUAAGUCGGAUGUGAAAUCCCCGGGCUCAACCUGGGACCUGCAUUCGAUACUGGCGAACUUGAGUAUGGUANAGGGGGGUGAAUUCCAGGUGUAGCGGUGAAAUGCGUAGAUAUCUGGAGGAACAUCAGUGGCGAAGNGGCCCCCUGGAUCAAUACUGACGCUGAGGUGCGAAAGCUGGGGAGCAAACAGGGAUUAGAAACCCCAGUAGU
rnacentral:rRNA from 1 species